CUUCUUCCUCCAGCGCUUGCUGCCGUUGCUGCCUUCGACCUCUUCCUCUGUCGGUCUAGCCUCCCACUGCGUCGGGCCUCCUCCGCGCUGCAGCCCCAUACCCCACCUCCCGAUCUGCAUUCUCCCUUCCCCGCCCCCGCUCCUCUGUGCUGCUGCGUCGGCUGCCGAGACCCGUCUGCUGCGGCGCCGUGCCUCGGCUGGAUGGAGCGAGGGAGACAGCCACGCGCCCUCGCCAUCACGUUCGUGGUGGCCUUGCUUCUGAUUUCCACCUCUUCCUCGUGCUAGGGUUGAGAGGCCAUGGCGGAAGGUCAUGGUGGCCUUGCUCCUGAAAGGAGGUGGCGGAACUUUGCAGUACAGGUCUUGGCGGCAACACUUGUGGAGAAAGAGGCCAACAAGAUUGAAGAACUGGGUUGGAAGGAAAGGGACAUGAAUGACUGGACAAUUGGAAGAAGAGUCGUGCUAUGCACAUGACAAAAUUCGGAUGAUUCACGCAUGAUGAUUAAAUCUAGCUGGACAUGUGUAUGAUUGAAAAGGGCGCUGCCUGUUGGAUUUACAUGUCGCGCAUAGAUCGGGCACAAGUAUCACGUACAGAGCAGUUUUAUUCGAAGAAAUACUUCCAAAUGAUGUGUAAGUGUCUCAGAAAUGGUUUCAUUGUUGCAUUUGUUACUCAUUGAUGAAGUCUUCUGUUUGCGGCUAUCACCUGAAUGUUGUGGAUAAAUUUCAUUUCAUCAAAAAUUUCAAUGCAAAUUACUGAUGGAUUUCGAUUGCUAAUGCUUUUUUUAUUUCAUGUCCAACAAGUUCCGGUUAAGUAGGAGAUUCUUCUCCACGUAAUGCUCUUCCUUGCUCUUGGAUAGUAGAGUUAUUUUGAUUUCUCCUUCUUAAGCUUCUCAACACACUGAUAUUCUUUGAAGCAGGGCUCCCCUAAAGUUGAGGCUAAGACGUCUCUUUUUUUGCACACAUUGAUGCAUAUUGUACAAGAAUUGCCAAAUAAAAUAAAAAUAUUGGUUGUUGAGAUGGCACACUUAUUUGAACACAAAGUGCAAGAAACAUGGGUGGUCUCAUAAAGAGGGCAUGUUUUUUUUGUCUGAGGUCAGAUCUUGAUUUUUUUUCUAGCAUUUAAAUUAUCUGGUCCUAGCAGUGGAUUUCUUAGUCACCUGUUGCAUCAAGCAGUUCUCACAUUGUAGGAGCCAAAAUUCAUCUAGCGAAGGUGGGUGGUAUACCAUUUAAACCGACAAAUAACUAUGACCUUGGCGAUUCACACAUAUGCCGAUUUUGGGUUCUAUCCUUGGUUGUAUACCUUCCUAAAAAAGAUUGCUCUGUACUUAUACAUAUAGCAAUCUCCCUACAGCCAAACUGGGUGGUCCCUGUCUGUCAUCUGAUUUAAACGCUUAUUAAGCAUGGCUGAGUGUGAGGUCCAUGUGUCGUUUGUUUGCUCUUUUCGGUUGUGCAUUGUGGAGCUGCUCGGCUGAGGAGAAGGGGAAAAGGGUUACUAGCGGGUGUGGGGUGCAGGAUACGCUUCCUUGCAUCUGCGGGUGGGACUAGAGGUUGAUGCGUCAGUGUGAGGGCUUCCCAUGAGCAGCACGUCGUCUGGUGGUGGGUUGGUUUUGUGCUGCUCCUCCUUUGUCUUGCCAGGGGUAGGGUUUGGUGUUUUUUUCUUUUCAUGUUUUCUACAAUCAUCGUUUUAGUUCGGUUUGAGGACAGUGAUGGGCUGGAAGAGGGUUGUGGGAUUCCAUGUUGAUGUGGGUUUGGUUGGGUGUUCUGGAGGGCGUGUUCAAGUUUCCAUUUGGUGGAUUUCUUGCGUUUUGGUCCGGGGAGCCAUCCCUUGUGCUUGCGAUUGUGAUUUCUCUCGCCAAGAAAAUAGCACUACCGCCCCUAGGGAAGGCUCCAGUGUGCAAAUUCUUCCUCGAUUUAUUCUCACAGUAGGUAUGGUGCAUCACCCCCUAGUUUCACUUGGCAAUAGUUUGUAGGUGAUAUACAAUUCAGUCGUGGUAAUCUUGCAUCCAUGCAUCCUCACGGCCACGCAAAUUGAGAUUAAUUGCAUGAAGAAUGGUAUAUCAAUUAUGUGUUGAUAAAGCUAUGAAUUACAAUAACAUUUUUUAUAUUAUUUGGGGUAUGUGCUUGUUGUUCUUUGUAAUAUAGGAGAGGGGCAGAGCAUCAUUCUUCAUCAAUUAGAGAACACAACUACUCUGCAAUUUUAUGAGUGUGUUUCCUCCCAAAUUCCAAGUAUCAUUAGUAUAUAGUGCGAAGACAUGUACUACUACUAAUAUAAUUCAUUUGAAAUAACAUAACCUUCCCAUUUUCCUUCUAUAGGUAGCAAACCAUUAUGAUUAAGAAUGUUUUGGAGUCGAUUGAGUGCUAUAAAUAAUUCAUUAUUGUCAAAUCAAUGUGUGUCAUAGGCCAUGGGAUGCACUUGGAUUUGGUUAAUUCUUUACCAACUAUAAUAAAAAAAUGUUCUCCAACUACACUAUUGUGAUAGCUAUUGCCUAUCGGGGAAGGUGUGCCAUAUGUUUUGUCUAGAAUGUAAGCCAACUAGGAAGAGGGCAUGAUAUUCCCCUCUAUUUCAUUCAACUUCAACAUUUCUUUGCUGGCAUAAUUGUUGUCUUUUCGUACGAACUUCUCUAGAAAGGCUAUGGCUUGGGUUCUAGCAUUACAUAUUCAGAACUACUGACAUUCAUUAAGCUUACAUAGGUUAAAUUUCAAACUUCAUAAAAUUUGAAAUCUUACUGCAAUACUUUUGUGGGUGGUAAUAGUAUAAGGCAUUGAUUCCAGAAGAAUAUAACAUAAUGUAUUCAUAUGGGAUCUUGAGCACCUAAAAGAUUUAACUAAGCAACUAUUAGAUUCUUAUUUAUCUGAAUGGAGAUAAACAUGUUGUGCUAGCAUGAAGUUGAUAAGCUACAGUUUCUAGGGACAUCCUGAAUAUUGGUAACAAUGUUGUUUCCAAUCUGAAUUGAUGGCCUUUUAACUCAUGUAUCAUUUGUAUGUUGGUUGGUGUGGGCCCAAUAAUCACUGCAAAUGGUAAACUAGCAUAUAUCAGUGGUGAAGAGGUAUCCUUAAUGAAGGAUGUGACUCUAAUGUACAAUGUUUUAUGGUCUUUAUAUUCAGUAUGCUAUUUUGUCCAAUUUAAACCUGAUUGUGAGUGCCCCUUAUUUCAUACUGAAAUGCUAAAUUUUUCAAGAAAAUCCCUUGUUUAAUGCUAGAUGGGCCAUCAGAGCUAAUGCAUAAAAAUAUAAAUUCCCAAAUUUACUUAUUCUGAUCGUCUGAAUGGAAUAGGUUUCCUCACAACAUUAUUAGUGUCCUUGCAUUUCCUUUCGUGCCUACAUAUUGGUAGGUGCCUAUGAUAUAAUGUCAUAACUUAUGAGUGCUUAAAUCUUCAUGAAGUGAACUUGCCGCUGGUUGCUCCUAUUGUCAUAUUUGAUUAAUUUGGUUUUCUCAUGUCAUAUUUGGUUAAUUUAGUUUUUCUUUGUUGCUACUUUAGCACUUUGCACUUAACCUCACAAGAUUGUCUCAAAAAAAGAAUUUAACCUGACAAGAGAUGCAAUAAAAAUUGCGCCAAAGGGCACCUCAAUACUUGGUUGCCAGUACUAGGGAGUGGAAUGUGAAGGCCAAGAGCAACUAUCGACAUAAAAGCAUAGUACUCCCUCUGGAAAGAUUUAUAAGACGUUUUAGAAAGUGUAGUUCAAAUCUCGGCACGUUAAGAAAAUUCGGUCGUUUCCAUUUUUGCCCCUGCGCUCACUCACUCACCCGCACUCACCCAUUCCCCUCUCGCACUCACUUGCCCGCGUCGACAUCUCCCUGCCCGAAUCCGGCGCGGUGGCGACGCGCCUCACUCUCCGGCGUGGUGGCGACGCUCCUCCCUCUCGCCCGCGUCGACACCUCCCUCUCGCCCGCGUCGACACCUCCCUCUCGGCCGCUUCGCAGCCUCCCUUCUCCUCUUGUCGCCGCCUCUCCCUCUCCUCGCCCGCGUUGUCUAGCCAAAAUUGUUUUUUUAGUGAGGUCAGGAUGAGCGGGAGGAGCGCGUUCGUCCCCCGCGCCGACGUCGGCGUCGAGGAAUAAGCAGGUGGAGGGCAUGGCGGAGCGCCGCCGCCGCAAGCACCUCAAUGACCUCCGCUCCGUCUUACUCCAAGAUCUAGAAGGUCACACAUUGCCGCCAAUGGAGCAGAGCAAAAGGAGGAGGGCGACACCCAGGGAGAGGGGUGGUAGGAACACGAGCGAGCGGCUGUUUUAGAUGAGGAGGAGCGGAGGCAGCGAUGACAUGGUGCAGGCGACCUUCCAUCUGUUGCUGACCAGUGGAGGAGGAGCAGGAGGACGUCGGCGC